CUCCGCCCGGACUCCUACUGGAGCCGGACUUCGCACCUGACUUUAAUUGCAGGAAGACUCCGUCCGGACUCCCACAGGAGCCGAACUACGCUCCGACUUCGCCCACGGGAGCCAAACUCCCGUAGCCUCCCCAAGAACGGAGGAAAAAUUCCAAGCAAAAAAGAAAAAGGAAGGCGAUGGGUCACGUCAACGACGAAUGAAAAACAAACAGCGUCCAAGAUGCAGG
rnacentral:lncRNA from 1 species